UUGUAGGAAAAAGUCACUUUCAGGAAAACCUGGAGUAAGGCAGUUCUUGGUUUCUAGAAAGGAUUUGCACAAGAUGUUUCUGGACACAUAAAUACUUGGAUUUGAUGCCUAUAUGCUGGAUGUGAUGAAAUCUGGUAUGGUCCUUCUAUCUUCAUUUUUUAAAAAAGAGAGUCAGACUGAAGGAAGCCACACUGGUUAAAAACUUAUUCCCAUAUUCAGAGGACAGCUAGAGGAGCUAUAAAAUUAAGCAGUAUGUAUACUGUGAACAGCUAAGAGAAACUGAAGAAAAUAAGAGGGAAACAAGACCAAUAGAGAACAUAAUUAAGGCCAGUAAGAAGCACUGAAAUUUUAGAAAUUGAAAGAAUUUUAAUAAGUGUACAAGCCUAAUGUGAGAAGGAUGUGGUAAAAUUUAGUGAUGCUAAAAGAUGAAAAUUAGAGGUGUAUCUGUUACGUUAUAUAACUGUAUGAUAGGAAAUCAAUAAAAUAUUUUCCAGUAAUAGAAGGGGCUGCUCU
rnacentral:lncRNA from 1 species